CCAGAGAUGGAUUGGUGCCUUCGGGAACUCUGACACAGGUGCUGCAUGGCUGUCGUCAGGCUCCGUGUCGUGAGAUCGUUGGGUUAAGUCCCGUAACGAGCGCAACCCUUGUCCUUAGUUACCAGCACGUUAUGGUGGGCACUCUAAGGAGACUGCCGGUGACAAACCGGAGGAAGGUGGGGAUGACGUCAAGUCAUCAUGGCCCUUACGGCCUGGGCUACACACGUGCUACAAUGGUCGGUACAAAGGGUUGCCAAGCCGCGAGGUGGAGCUAAUCCCAUAAAACCGAUCGUAGUCCGGAUCGCAGUCUGCAACUCGACUGCGUGAAGUCGGAAUCGCUAGUAAUCGUGAAUCAGAAUGUCACGGUGAAUACGUUCCCGGGCCUU
rnacentral:rRNA from 1 species